rnacentral:rRNA from 1 species
UACGUAGGUGGCAAGCGUUACUCGGAAUCACUAGGCGUAAAGCGCAUGUAGGAGGUUUAGUAAGUCUGUUGUGAAAGCUCCCGGCUUAACUGGGAGAGGUCAACGGAAACUGCUAGGCUAGAGUGCGGUAGAGGAAGGUGGAAUUCCCGGUGUAGCGGUGAAAUGCGUAGAUAUCGGGAGGAAUACCUAUGGCGAAAGCAGCCUUCUGGACCGUCACUGACUCUGAUCUGCGAAAGCUAGGGGAGCAAACAGG